CAAUAGCGUAUAUUUAAGUUGUUGCAGUUAAAAAGCUCGUAGUUGGAUUUCGGAUGGGAUUUGCCGGUCCGUCGUUACGAUGUGCACUGGCCAGUCCUAUCUUGUUGUCGGGGACUAGCUCCUUGGAUUCACUUCCUGGGACUAGGAGCUGACGAGGUUACUUUGAGUAAAUUAGAGUGUUCAAAGCAAGCCUACGCUCUGAAUACAUUAGCAUGGAAUAACACGAUAGGACUCUGGCUUAUCUUGUUGGUCUGUGAGACCAGAGUAAUGAUUAAGAGGGACAGUCGGGGGCAUUCGUAUUUCAUUGUCAGAGGUGAAAUUCUUGGAUUUAUGAAAGACGAACUACUGCGAAAGCAUUUGCCAAGGAUGUUUUCAUUAA
rnacentral:rRNA from 1 species